rnacentral:lncRNA from 1 species
GCUGCAGGGAGGGGAUACCCAAGAAACCAACUGAUGACGAGGGUUAGAAGAGCUCACGGAGUUGUUGAUAUCCCGAUGCUAUAGAUUGUCGGAUUGGGGUUGUUAUCCAACAUGUUGAAGUACUCAUGUGCAAGAUGAUAGACUCGUUGAUAUGUCGAACUUGAAUUCAGUUACUUGUUCUAAAAGAGAAAUUCAUUUCUAGAGAUCCAAAUAGCCCAAGAUGUAUAAGAGAUAAUAGUUUUAUCAUAAUCAAUUAUAAAAUUUUUUGGUUAGCACUCAAUUAGAUCUUGAAUGGAAUUAAUUUGAGGAAUACUUGGAUGGUGAUCGGUAACUUCAC